GCUUACCAUCACAUUUGCAAUGAAUCCAAAUGCCUUUUCCUGUAUCAAAAAGCCCCUACUUUUCUGACCUCAUCUCUUGCUACUUUCCCUAUUACUUUCUAUGUUCUGGCCACUUGAACCUCCUUCCUGGUCCUACAAUACAGCAAGAUGUUCCUACUUUAGGGACUCCACAUUCAUUACUUCUUCUGCUCUUCCCCACCACCUUUAUGACAGGCUUAGUCAUUCAGAUCUCAACUUUAAAGUCACCUCCUCACAGAAGCCUCCCUGACAACAAAAUCUAAAGU
rnacentral:lncRNA from 1 species